rnacentral:rRNA from 1 species
UACGGAGUGUGCAAGCGUUGUUCGGAAUCAUUGGGCGUAAAGCGCGUGUAGGCGGCCCUGUAAGUCAGGUGUGAAAGCCCUAGGCUCAACCUAGGAAGUGCACUUGAAACUACGGGGCUUGAGUAUGGUAGGGGGGAGCGGAAUUCCCAGUGUAGAGGUGAAAUUCGUAGAUAUUGGGAGGAACACCAGUGGCGAAGGCGGCUCCCUGGGCCAACACUGACGCUGAGACGCGAAAGCGUGGGUAGCAAAC